UACAGAGGUCCCAAGCGUUAUCCGGAUUUACUGGGCGUAAAGGGCGUGCAGGUGGUCUGUUAAGUGGUGCGUGAAAGCGCUCGGCUCAACCGGGCGAGGCCGUGCCAAACUGGGAGACUAGAAACAGGCAGAGGCAAGUGGAAUUCGGGGUGUAGUGGUGAAAUGCGUAGAGAUCCCGAGGAACUCCUGUGGCGAAGGCGACUUGCUGGGCCUGCUUUGACACUCAGACGCGAAAGCAUGGGGAGCGAACGGG
rnacentral:rRNA from 1 species